AAGAAAGCCUUAAUAUGAGAGUUAAUUUUUCAGAAAAAGACGCAGUAAAGACGUUUUUCUUACAUAUUCACCCAGCAUGAAUUGCUAAUAUGGCGAAGGUGUUGCGUGGGUUUCCAAAUAAAACAAAAGGCAAAUGUAUGACCGUUAAUGAAACGUGAGUCAUAUAAGCCAAAUCUAGAGGAUGUAAUGUAAUCAUUAUGAAAGGACGUCCACUGGACUGCAAGGGCAAAAACCUUUUACCCAACAGGAUUCUAUCAUUCUGUCAACAUACUUAUUGCAGUCAGGAACUGCAGCUUUCGGAAAUAUGCCGGUGACUGUAUUUCUAUGGGCAGGAAAUUAACGGGCGCGGAAGCAAGUGUGACAUUUGGCAGGAUGUGAGCGGGGGCAUGAACGGCUCCUGUUUCAGCGGCGCUGUAGACCUGACCAUGACACUGUUCUGCUCGACAGGAUCAGGUGAUUUGAAAAAGUAUAAGAAAACAGACAAUUAUUUGAGCCAUCUUUGUUAUACAAAUCAAAUCUACUUUCAUUGCCUGCUCUGCAUAAGCUGAACAUGAAGUUAAUCUUCAGAAAACUCUCAAAAUUACCACUGGCUAUUUAAGUACUGCCAAACAAAACAAAACAAAAAAAACAUGAUGUCAUUUAUGUUUAGCUUUUGCAGCUAUAGCUUGGACCAAGGCAUUCAUCAUGUGCCCAUGUGUUUCUGUUUGGUACUGACCUAAUUUUUUCUCUUCCUGGGCUGAUGUAGCCUUUUUCAUAAUUCAGUCCGGAACGUCUGUCGCCACUCUGGGACACAAGCAUGUAAAUUAGGGUUAAAUGCAAAUAAUGCAGACGCUGACCAAUAUUUGGCUGAUAUCAAGAUGGGAAGUGAAAACCAUGAAUGAACCAUGUCAGCUGACUGACCGAGGCCCUCAAAGUGUAAAUGGUUAACCCUGUGCUUGCCGAUUUCUUUGCAGAGAACUGAGAAUCAUGCAGCACAGACUGUUUGCUUGUAUGGAGCACCGAGACCCACUUUUGGGUCUUGUUGCUGGAGAGCUUCCCAUAUCGCACAUUCUGUGGAGCACAUGUCACCCUCUGGGGCAGUGUGGCCGAGCUUGGCAGCUGGCCAGUGGAUGUGAGACGGGAGACAGACGAGUGUCAUCUCAGUGUCUCACACGCCAUGCUUUCCAUGUAGGCUUAAUGACUCAUUAAGCCCACUGCUGUGGACUGAACUGCUUCACGCCCACACUGGGUUGGCAGCAAAAUUGAAUGUUUUCAUCCAGACGGUCCAUUAAAACUUUUGCUGAAAGGCUGAAAGUAGUGGCCUGCCUUUCCACCAGCUGUGAGGUGAUUUAUUUGAGCCCUUGUAUUUGGUGGGGUGAAGUUUGUCAUGCAUUUCCCAGAAGAAACCCAUCAUCUGUCCUGUGGCACAAGUCAACCUGCAACUCGGUGCCAAUGAGUAAAAAUCGGUAAGAAUGUAACCAUGAGACCGUUCACCAGUCCUGGUGGAACUCCUGGGUCAUUAUUACUAUGAUUAUAACUCUGGUCAAAGAGAUUACAGUCUAUUUGACUACAAGAAAUGUGCACAUUACACUGUCAGAAAUAAGGGUAAAAACUUGCACCUUUGCUUGUCACUGGGGUUGUCCCCUUGAAGGUCUGCCAAUUGUACCCUUAGCUGUAGAUAAAUGUACCUUUUAAGGUACAGAAAUACUCUGAGGAAUAUUUAUGUACAAUUGAUUGUACAUUCAUGCUGUCUGGACCAUUGGGAUGCUCCUCAGAGUCCAUUUCUGUACCUUAAAAGGUACAAUUACAAGGGUACAGAAAAAUGACAAUUUUUUUCUCUUUUUUCUAAGAGUGUAUACGGUCACUAUUACUGUUGUGAGAUGUGAGCUAUUGGUCACAUAAGUCAUAAUGGUUAGGAGAGCCAAGCUUUCAAUAGAGGAGUCAGGGUUAGACUUGUUAGGCAUGUCAGGAUCAGAAGAUGGAAAAAAAGCCAAUUAAAGGAGGAUCUGAUAGUUGAAUGUGUAGAGAAAUUGAAGUCAAGGAGAAUUUUCAGAGACAAAAGGGAGAAAUGGGUAUAUACAGGAGAUAAUCAAAUGGUGCAAAGUCAGUAUUCAGUCCAAAACGUGAAAGGUUUGCUAUACCUAAUUAGCUCUAACAUGGUUAUGGAGUCUUAUGCAACAAUUUAAACAAACUCGUUUGAGGAAGAUCAAAACUAAUGUACAUAAAAAGAUGUCCCUGCUGAGGUAGCCAUGUUCAGAACAAUCUGUCUCUGUUAUAAUGAAUACAGCCUGGAGCCCUAACAUUAGCAAAUACAAACCCAUCACAACGGAGGUAGCGGGACUGAGUGUGACAGCUAAAGGUUUAUCUGCCUGUAAAAUUGCACAGAGGUGAGGUCUGUUUAUGCUGUCUGCAAACACUAGGCAGUACGUGUAAAUAUAGACUGAGGCCAUUAGUGAAGCAGGGCUGUCCUGAUUUGCACUUUGUCUCAGACUAUCACUUCCUGUAUAAAUGUAUACAAAAUAUAUGCAGAUCAGCUCGCUCGUACAAGAAAAGGUAUUCUUGUUAUACACACUUAAUGUAAAUGUGUGGUUAAGGUUUAUUAUACACAUAAUAGCGCCGAUUCAGUUUUAAACCGACCAUUUAGUCCCUCCCUGCCAUUAAAAUUAAGAUUUUGUUUCCUUUUCUCUUUUUGGCUUAAUUCCGGUAAAUGCUUGAUUUUAGAAGCAGUCUUUUGAGGACACAUGUACCGUGCCCGCUUUUCCCGGGGCGUCCAGCCCUGCGCUAUAAUGUGGCGGCUUCGCAGAAGCGGCUCCUGUCAGCCCGACGGUGCUGCAGCGUGAUGGCGUAGGCUGUUUGUCAGACGGAGCAAAUCACGCUACACAUGAAAUGACACUAGGUUUGGGAAAUGCCACGCCAUUACGUUCUGUAGCAUACUUUGCGAAGUCGUCUACCUGGCUGACAUGCAGUGACGCUGCUCCUGUCGCCAGGAAAGAGCAGGGACUGCCUGUCUGGUUAUUUUCCACUAAGCUCCGACCUCCUGUCUCAUGCCAGAGAGAAAAUGCGGAGAGAGCUGUGCUUUCGGCUCCUACAUUAAUAUCCACGCACUGCCGGUUUUAGCACAGCUCUGGGUGUGCCGUUUUAGUCUAAGGAAACAGUUUUAAUAAGCGGCGUCUUAAAUUAAAAUAAUUUGUAGCUGCCGGUUAUGUAUCAAAUUAUUCCUGAAGAUAAACUGACUCGCCAACACAUGUAUCCAUUUCAAGCGAAAGUCAGAGCAAAUCCAUAUUUUAACCAUCGUUAUUAAUUCCCAGAAAAGAAAACGGACAAAAUUAGGCAUAGUAGUUACUCCACAAAGUGCUGAUUACUCGUCUAAAUUUUUUACAGUCUAGAAUGUGAGAAACUUAGAAAUAAUGGCACCUUCGUUUGUCAUUUUCAUCUUUAUUUGAUAACGGGCAGGAAAUGCAGAACAGCCACCUAUUGUUUCAGUCCCGGAUUAGGCCAACAAAGGUCUUUCUGCACAGUGGUCUCUGAGUUUGGGCUGGAAAAGGCUGCAGCCUGAGAAAAUGCCAACAUUGUUUUGGAAAGAGGCUAGUUGCCCUUUUUAUUUGUGGAAAUAUAUGCAGGCGCUACCUAUCUGAUAAGGGAGUGGAAAAGCAAGCAUGCUGGAAAUAAACAGGGUGGGUGCUGGACGUUUGACCUGAGUUAAUUUAAUUUUAUUAGAUGAGACUUUUUUGGAGAUAUAGAGCAGACUGGGCAAUUAUAAAAAUAGUAUGCAGCCUUACUGUCUUCAUUUGGUGGCUCUUUUGUAAGCUCACCAAGAUUAGGCCUGCUGCUGUGGAUGUUAAGUAUUAACACUCUGUGACAGACUGCUAUGUCGCAAGUCUGGCCUACAACUUCGAAAUCGUUCAUUCAUUCAUUUGGAAACAGCCAGGGGCCCUAAUAUUAGCAAAUCCCAUCACAGCGGAGGCAGUGGGACUGAGUGUGACAGGUUUAUCUGCCUGUAAAAUUGCACAGAGGUGAGGUUGUAUUAUGCUGUCUGCAAACACUAGGCAGUACGUGUAAAUAUAGACUGUGGCCAUUAGUGAAGCAGGGCUGUCCUGAUAUGCACUUUGUCUCAGACUAUCAUUUCCUGUAUAAAUGUAUACAAAAUAUAUGCAGAUUGGCUCGUUCAUGCAAGAAAAGGUAUUCUUGUUCCACCAAUUUAAUUGAAAAGUUUAAAAGCACCAAUGGAGUGACUGGCAUUGUGAGCCAAAAGGGUUACCACAGCAUUUUGCAGUGCCAUGCAACACCCUCUGGUCUGCAUGUAGUCGGUUAGGGGUUCGUCCUAAAGCAAGGCAAUAACCCAAAACAUACGUACCUUCAGGCUAUGUCAGAGCUAAUAUAAAAGAAAACAACAAGAUGGUACUCCUUAAAAACAUGGAAGGGCCAGCACAGUCUCCAGACUUAAACCCCACUGAGCUGGUUAGGGAUGAACUGGGUAGAAGGAUGAAAGCAAAACAACCUACAAGUGCAACACAUUCAUGGGUACCUCUGCAGUAGAGUUGGGAAGAACUUUCUGACAAAAAUUUGAUAUUCCUUGUACAAAGAAUGCUGUGUGUGUCUGGUUGUUAUAUCGGCAAAAGGUGGCUACUUUGAGUCUAAAAUUUAAAUACAGUUUGUAAGCUAAAUGAUUUCUUGACUUCUUUUAAAUUGCUAUAGUUUAUUUGCCCUAUGCCUUAAUUACACUUCACAUUGAUACUUAAAGCCAACAUACAUUUCCAUAAAACUGGAAAAACUGAGGGGCUCCAUCCGUCUGUCCUAUCAAUCUAAUCUUUAAUAGUAAUAAUACAUACAUACAACACCAAACCAGUUGUGAUGGUUCUGCUCAACUGGAAGUAAUGCAUUUUAGACAGUACUGGUUGGUGUUACUUUAGCACCUUUUGUGAAGAGGGCAUUGCCCCAAAGCCACACAACACACUCCUUAGAAGCUGUUUUCAUAACUGACUCACUUGUCGUUUUGUAAGCUUGUUUCCUGACCUUUUUUCAUGCAAUCAACUCAGGGUUAAUAGGGGAGUGGGGACACUUACUGGAAGUACAUCUGUUAAUAUUUGCUCUACUAUUUUACGGGGAAAGCUGCUAGGCUGUUAGACUGAAUGUAAUGAUGCUUCAUGAACCAUUUGCUGUAUUUUUUGACCCCACUAGAUGGUGCUUUUGGUUUGCUUUGAGCCCUUUUUUGAACAGAGGGCACCAUCUAUUGGGUGAAAAUGAUAGCAAAUGUUUCAUGAAUUGUCAUUUUGUCCAUCAGAAUAGCCUUCAAAAAGGUUAUCGAUACAGGUUUUGCCCAUUGAAUAUUGAAUUUGAUCAUUUUCUUGACAGCAUAGUGAUCCUCCAAGCUUGUGUCGAUUCAGCACCAAAAGAAGCUCAGAAUAAAUACAGAACUAACCAUCCUGUGCAAGCUAAAUUGAUAUAACAGGGUAACCCCUGGUCCGUAUAUAACCUCACUGUAAUGAGGAAAGUCAAACACGAUUUGUUAGUCAAAGUGGAAAGAAAUCAGACCUGUUUCACUCUGUUACCAGUUAAAAGUUUAAAGUGUUACUAUGACAGUGCUUUCUGCUUGUGGACAAAUGUUACAGCCACUAUAAAGGGGAAAUAUUAACCAAACCUUGUCUUGUAUGUUGUAAGCAGGUUCUGGCAUAGCCAAAGUUCAUGACUGAAGUGAACAAUUGUCCCUAUAUCGGCGAAGAUACGGCAUGAAGCUGAUGCCAAUACUCAUAAAAAAAUCUGACAACACAAGCAGUUGAUCCUGGGAUUAUGGCACUAUUUGUGUGUGUAUUUUUCAUGUGAUGCAGAUGCCGAUUGCCAAGUGGUUUAAAUUUACAAACGUCUCAAAAUGGAGUGUUUUUUUGGGGGAGGGGGGUUUCUCUUGAAGCUGUGCUGCUUUGUAAGGCUUUUCUAGUUGGUGUGGAGACAAGAAGAGCCUUGAAUGGACACGGUGUCGACUAAGUACCUUCAUUGUUCCCAGCUGUAGACAUUAUUCUUAACUUUCCUCCUCAACCACAAACAGCUGGACCUGCACAGGAAUCUUAUUUGUCAAAAUAGAUACCUUUGCUACACUGACAUGAGUGAAUGGCUGUUUUUCCCCCCCAACUGUUGCUAAUUUGGACUUGUGAUUCCAUAAAUAAACAAAUCUAUUUUCAAGGAACUGGUGUUUAGGGAUGUGUAAAAGCAGGAGGGGGGUGAUUCAUCAGCCACUCAAACAAUAGACAUCCAUUAGGGUUUAUCCAAGGUAGCACAAGGCACACAAUUGGGGUACGUCCUGGACAGGAUUCCAGCCCUUAUGGGGCACAUACUGUACUACAGACUGCAGGAGGAAACCUGCGAGACACGGGAAGAAGGUGCAAAUUCCACACAUACAGAGCAGGAAUGAGAUGUGAAGCCCCCCAGCAUUGGAGAUGUAAGGUAACCACGCUACCCGUCAAGCCACCAUGCUGCCUGCAACACUGGUCACUCACUAUUUACUUUAAAUGCCCAUUAAUUCUUUUCACUAAGACUUUGCCCUCUGCUGGCUAUUAGAAAAGGGCAGUCCUCCUUUCCCGGGAAAACCUUUUCAGAGAACUCUACUUUGGUGAGGACCCAUGCAAAGCAAGCUGUGGUGGCACAGUGUGCAGGAAGGUCACAGCUUACCUUUCACACCUCCAGAAAAUGUGCCAGCGUGCAAACUGGCAUGUGACACUAUGGCAGGGCCGUGCAGCUCAGGGCUGAUGGGCUGCAGCAGGUGGAAAUCGUAAAUACUGCUGGGCAGCCUGCCAGGCCCUAGAGGGACCGGGCCGCUCCAGCGCUCGCGUUGCCCAGUUUCCAAAUGGAUGCAGAGCCUGACUGGCUUGGGGGGGGGGCUGCUAAACUGCCUCAGUUACUACUAGUGCCCAACCUGGACAUUUAUUUAGAUUGAGUCACAUGUUUGGGACGGGGGGGGGUUAAUGGGACUCACCGUAUGAGUCUUAGGCAGCCUAAUAAAAUGAUGUUUAAAUGAUCUUCAUGUUGGUGUAAAACACCUGCACGAGCUAUUUGCACACACACACACACACACACACACACACACGCACACACGCACACGCACACACACACCACACAUUACAUUUUGAAGCAACAAGUAGGAAGAGACAAUGAACUAAGAAGAAACAAUUAAGAAGAAAUGAAGACGGGCUGAAAAUGGGCUGUUAUGAGUGAGAACAUCCGGAGGAUCCUGUUUCAUCCACUGCAGGUGCCCUCCAGUGGCAGCGCCUGCCUUAGGGCACCGUUGCCCAAACAGCCUUUCAAAAUCAUGACGCAUGUUCUGUGUCUAGAACCAGAACGACGUGUUUUGUCCGGACUGCAGGGAUUCGAGGGCAUGGACUAUCCACUUUCAGCCGUGGGAGAACCGCAGCACCGAUGCUCUCUGGCUUCAGGUCAUGGUGGCUCCAGUUCCGGCAUGUUGCGCAUUGCUGCUGAUUCCCACGUAAUCAAGUGAGAGAACUUCCUCACCUGCAUUAAGUGGGGGCGGGGGCGGGGGGAGGAGUUUUGCUUUGUCUUCAAACAGAAGGAAAACUGUAUGACCUGCAAAAAUUGUGCAGAUGUAGGGGCUUGCUGUAGAGAAAUUCCAGUUCAACCCCAUAGCUUUCAUAGAGAAGCACCAUGACAACCUGUCUCACAUUUUGCACUGGGGGGUUGGUUGGGCGGGGACUGUUUACAUAACAGUUUAUACGUCAGCUGAUAUGCAAUAUACUAUAAAAUAUGUAUGUGGUGCAAUUUAUUGGGUCAUUCAAAAAGUUUAGACAAAUAUAAAUGCAGAUAAAAAUAUGGCGUGUAUGUAAAGAUUAUUGUUUACAGCCUAAAUUGACAAAGCUGCUUAAAAAACUUUGUAAGUCACUUAUUUCGGUCAAGUUGUAUGGAAAAAAAACCAAUAAUCUUCCCAUAGCAAGGAUUGAACUCAAGUGCUGCAACAAAUCAUGGGUAAUACACUGUAAAACUAGUGUCAGUGCAGUGGCACUACGUAGCUGUAGCUGCAGCUCCACGCACUGCGAGCUUAACGACAGAUCCCCUACAGGAAGAGCAGGCUGCGUAUCACAUUUACAGCAAACCGUCUGCCAUACGGGGGGACAUGAUCCAGGUAUAUAAGAUUCUAACAGGUCUGGAUGCUGUUCAGCCAAAUGGCUACUUUAAAAUAUUAGUUUAAAUUAGGGCUGUCAAAAUU